rnacentral:rRNA from 1 species
AGGAAUUUAAUUUAUAUUUAAAAUUAAUUUAUAAAAUUAAAUUAAAUAUAUUAAUAUUUUUAUGUAAAUUAGUUAAAUUAAUUAAUCAAAGUAUUUAAUAAAAAAAAUUAAUUAUAAAAGCAAUUUUUAAUUUGUAAAAUUUUUUAAUUAUAAAUGAAUAGAGUGCCAGCAAUAGCGGUUAAACUUUAUAUAAAAAAUUAAUAUUAAUUAUUAUUAAUUAAGUAAAAAAUUAGGUUAGUAAAAAAUUAUUUAAGAUUAUUUAAUUAGUUAGUAAAAUAAUAAAUUAAAAUUUUAAAAUAUUAUUUAGAAUAUUAAUAUAACUGAAAUUAAUUAAAAUUAUUAAUAAAUUAGGAUUAGAUACCCUAUUAUUAAAAGUAAAGUUAAAUAUUUUUAUAAAGUAAAUUUAAUAAUCAAAUUUAUGAAUUUGGCGGUAUUUUAGAUUAAUCAGGGGGGCUUGUUAAAUAAAUGAUAUUCCACGAUAAGAAAUACUUAAAUAAUAUUUAACUUAUAUAUUUUUGUUUUAAAAAAUUUUUAGGAAAAUAAUUUUAAUUUUUUUUAUAAAAAUUUAAUUCAAAUCAAUAUGUAGUAAUAAUUAAGAUUAAAAUGAGUUAUAAUAAAUUAAUAAUUUGAAUUUUUAUAAUUUUAAUGUUUAAAUAAAAAAGAUUUGAGAGUAAAUUUUAUUAAAUUUAUAAAAUUGAUUUUAAUAUUAAAGUAUGUACAAAUUGCCCGUCAAUUUAAUUUAUUAUUUAAAAGUUUAAUAAAAAAUUAAAUUAUAAAUAUUAAGUAAGUUUUUAUUUAAAAAUUUAAAUUUAAAACAUUAAAAAAAAAUUAAAUAAGUCGUAACAAAGUAAAUGUACUGGAAAGUGUAUUUA